AAAUUUCCGUGUCCAACGUUUGACCGUCCGUCUUAUUUUAAAAAAUUAUAAAAAUAAUUAAAAAAAUAAGUCACGCAUAAAGUAUUAAUCAUGUUUUAUCAUCUAACAAUAAUAAAAAUACUAAUUAUAAAAAAAUCAUAUAAGACGGACAAUUAAACGUUAGACGUGGAAACCCAGGGUUUGUCUUUUU
rfam:Oryza nivara chromosome 5, whole genome shotgun sequence.